rnacentral:rRNA from 1 species
AACGGCGGCCGUAACUAUAACGGUCCUAAGGUAGCGAAAUUCCUUGUCGGGUAAGUUCCGACCCGCACGAAUGGCGGAACGGUCUGGACACUGUCUCAACGAGGGACCCGGUGAAAUUGCAAUAGCGGUAAAGAUGCCGUUUACCCGCGACAAGACGGAAAGACCCCGUGGAGCUUUACUACAGCUUGGCAUUGGAUUAAGGCAGUAUAUGUGUAGGAUAGGUGGGAGACUUUGAAACCGAGGCGCUAGCUUCGGUGGAGUCGCCCUUGAAAUACCACCCUUAUGCUAUUUUGAUUCUAACCGAGACCGAAAA